GCGCACUUUGUCAGCACAUACACUAAAUUUAGGAUGACACAGAGAAGAUUGGCAUGGCCUCUGCACAAGGAUGGUAGGCGACUCUGUGAAACAUUCCAUAGUUUC